rnacentral:RNase_P_RNA from 1 species
CGAUGGCAGAUGAUCGCUCCGAAGCAAUUCGGAGAGGAAAGUCCGAACACCAUACGGCAGCAUGCCGCGUAAAACACGCGGGCAACCCAGACGCAAGUCUAGGUUGACGGAAAGUGUCACAGAAAAGACACCGCCGGUUCUUUGGCAACGAAGCGCAGGUAAGGUUGAAAAGGCGAGGUAAGAGCUCACCGCUCGCGGAGCAAUCCGCGAGGCAGGAAAAACCCCAUGCGGUGCAAGACAAAACAGAGGGAGGACAGCCGGUCCGCCGAUCCUCGGGUAUCGUCGCAUCAUCCCGCUUUGCGGGAGGCGUCCCGUCCCGCACUGCGGGAUGGGAUGAGAUAAAUGAUCAUCAGGUUGAGCAAUCAGCCGACAGAAUUCGGCUUAUCGCCAUCGAAAU